rnacentral:rRNA from 1 species
UUGGAGGGCAAGUCUGGUGCCGGCAGCCGCGGUAAUUCCAGCUCCAAUAGCGCAUAUUAAAGUUGUUGCAGUUAAAAAGCUCGUAGUUGAAUUUCGGGGUCAGUAGGUCGGUCGUGCCACUGGUAUGAACUGGUUUUACUGAUUCCUCCCUCUUGAAGAACUGUAAUGCCAUUAAUUUGGUGUUGCAGGGAAUCAGGACUGUUACUUUGAAAAAAUUAGAGUGUUUAAAGCAGGCUUUAGCUUGAAUACAUUAGCAUGGAAUAAUGAAAUAGGACGUUUGAUCCUAUUUUGUUGGUUUCUAGGAUUGACGUAAUGAUUAAUAGGGAUAGUUGGGGGCAUUAGUAUUCAAUUGUCAGAGGUGAAAUUCUUGGAUUUAUUGAAGACUAACUACUGCGAAAGCAUUUGCCAAGGAUGUUUUCAUUAAUCAAGAACGAAAGUUAGGGGAUCGAAGACGAUCAGAUACCGUCGUAGUCUUAACCAUAAACUAUGCCGACUAGGGAUCGGAUGAUGUUAAUUUUUUAAUGACUCAUUCGGCGCCUUACGGGAAAC